GAUGAACGCUGGCGGCGUGCCUAAUACAUGCAAGUCGAGCGAACGGACGAGAAGCUUGCUUCUCUGAUGUUAGCGGCGGACGGGUGAGUAACACGUGGAUAACCUACCUAUAAGACUGGGAUAACUUCGGGAAACCGGAGCUAAUACCGGAUGAUAUUUUGAACCGCAUGGUUCAAAAGUGAAAGACGGUCUUGCUGUCACUUAUAGAUGGAUCCGCGCUGCAUUAGCUAGUUGGUAAGGUAACGGCUUACCAAGGCAACGAUGCAUAGCCGACCUGAGAGGGUGUUCGGCCACACUGUAACUGAGACACGGUCCAGACUCCUACGGGAGGCAGCAGUAGGGAAUCUUCCGCAUUGGGCGAAAGCCUGACGGAGCAACGCCGCGUGAGUGAUGAAGGUCUUCGGAUCGUAAAACUCUGUUAUUAGGGAAGAACAUAUGUGUAAGUAACUGUGCACAUCUUGACGGUACCUAAUCAGAAAGCUACGGCUAACUACGUG
rnacentral:rRNA from 1 species